rnacentral:rRNA from 1 species
UGCAAAUCAAUAUAAAUUGAUUUAAUAAUGAUUUAUUUUAAAUGGUUUUUUAUUUAUUUAUAUUUAUUAAAAAUAAUUAUAUGAUUUGAUGUUUUAGUAAUUUUUAAUGAAAAAAUAAUUUUAAUAAUAGUUUAUUAAGUAUUGUGAAAUAAUAUUGAAAUAUAUUGAAAAAUUUUUAUUUAAAAAGAAGAUUUUAUUUUUUGUACCUUGUGUAUCAGGGUUUAUCAAAUAAUUAAUAUUUAUUUAUUAAUCUCGAUUUUAUAAGAGUUAAUAAUUUAUUAAAGUUAAUGUAUCAUAAUUAUUUUAAAUAGAUUGUUGGAAAUGAGAUGUUAUUCGUUUAUAAAGGUAUCUAGUUAUUUUAGAAAUAAAUUUAAUUUACGAAUUUUUAAUUUUUUUUUUAUUUAAUAAAUAAAAAAAAUUAUUAAUUUGAAUAUUUUAAGGGAUAAGCUUUAAAAUAAAUUUUUAAAAAUCAAUAAAUGUUAAUUUGAAAUAUAUGCAUAGAAUUAGUAAUUAUUUAUAAAUUUGUUAUAAAUUAUUUAAUAAUUUAUAUUAUUUAUUAAGAUUUUAAAUUUUUAUAAAAUUUUUUUUUUUAAUUUUAAUUGAAAAGUAAUAAUGAUAAAAUUAGUAUAAUUUAUUUAUGUAUAAAUAUUUUUAUUAGGUAAGUUUAUAUAAAGAACUCGGCAAAUUUUAUGCUCGCCUGUUUAACAAAAACAUGUCUUUUUGAGUUAUUUUUAAAGUCUAACCUGCCCAAUGAAUUUUAUUUUAAUGGCCGCAGUAUUUUAACUGUGCAAAGGUAGCAUAAUCAUUAGUCUUUUAAUUGAAGGCUGGUAUGAAUGGUUGGACGAAGUAUAAUCUGUUUCAUAUAAUUUUUUUUUAGAAUUUUAUAAUUUAGUUAAAAAGCUAAAAUAUAAUUAAAAGACGAGAAGACCCUAUAAAUCUUUAUAUUUUAUAUUAUUUUGAUUUUUUAGAGUUAUUUUAUUUUUAUAAUAUAAAAUAUUUUGUUGGGGUGAUAUUAAAAUUUAAUAAACUUUUAAUUAAAUAAAAUUAUCAUUAAUUUAUGAUUAGUUGAUCCGUUAAUAAUGAUUAUAAAAUUAAGUUACUUUAGGGAUAACAGCGUAAUUUUUUUGGAGAGUUCAUAUCGAUAAAAAAGUUUGCGACCUCGAUGUUGGAUUAAGAGAUAUAUUUAGGUGUAGUUGUUUAAAUAUUAAGUCUGUUCGACUUU